AGGUUAUAGGGUGCAAUUCCCCAACAAAGAAACCUUCACCAACCUGUGCCUCUAUUCCUCGACACUACACUUAGAAAAAAAAAUCAUCAUCCCUCUCAAAACUCUUUCGGAGAAACUCUCACUCUCAUUUCUUCGAAUCGCGAUGACUCUGUACGGCCAAACCUCCGACCGUAUCUCCAGAUCUAGAAGGGAAACUGGUUUCCGUGGGAGAAGACGACAUAUAAGAAGAAGAAGCUGAGAGGUGAAGCGGAGGAAGACGACAUAGAAGACGAAAAAGCUAAGCGGUGGAUUUAUCGACGAAAUUAGAAGUUGGGAUCUCAAAACCGGGAAAGAUCUGCUUCGAUUCAAGUCGUGUGCUUCUCCGGCGCACAGCCGAAAACUUGGGUCGACUAAAGAAUCAAUUUUUCUAUCAAGCAACAAUGGGUCAAGUUCUCUUUUGCUCUCACACCUAUCCUCUCCGACGUUCUUGAAGGCUUAGUAGUUGCUUUCAUUUGUUAUCCUUUUUUUUCUUUUCUUGUUCCGCUGUAGGAGCAUGGAUUUUCACUUUGAUUCUGCUAAAAACGAGUUUGAUUUAUCUGCUUGAUAUCGGUAGCCAAUGCUGAUGUGAUCCACUUAGUUGCCUUGUUGCGUCUCUCAUCCCCUGUGUGAUUGCAGAUGAGGGAGGAUAAGAAGUAGAAGAAUGAUGAAGGAGAAGUGAGGGAAGGAGUAGCGCAUCAAUAGCUUUGUUGCCACGCGGGUAUAUCUCUUGUCAUUUCUUUCAAAUGUCUAGCUCCAUCUGUUUUGGUCUCCAUGGAGAUCAGGUGUCAGCUAUUUUGGUUGAGUCUUGUGGCUUAAAGAACUCAAGGCUCAACUCGGCUCUCCUCAGUGUCACCAAAGUCACCGAAGGUACUCAAACUAAGCUCUCUAAAAGCAUAUCACUUCUUUCACAGAGUCACCUCAGUUUUGGUGAUUUUAUAUGAUAAAAUCUGACUGGAUUUGGAGAAGCUUGAAGAAGCGGUUGGCUGGAAGAAGAUAGGUCGAAGAUGAUGUUUGGCUUACAGAGAAAGCCACAGCCAAGCACACUCUUAGACAGAGCUCAUGAUGUACAACUUUAUUUCAGAGCGUAAGAAAUGAGUUGCUCUUGGAACAUUAAUGGGAACUACCUAGGCUUCAAUGAUGGAAUACAAAGCAAUUGAGAAUGUGCUACAAACCAUUUAUUAUGUAGUUUUUCAUCUAUUCUUAUUUUUAGUUAUGAUUUUUAAUUUUAUUUUGUAAUACAAUUUUUUUGUAA